rnacentral:rRNA from 1 species
AUACGAAGGGGGCGUAGCGUUGCUCGGAAUGACUGGGCGUAAAGGGCGUGUAGGCGGUUUACACAGUCAGAUGUGAGAUCCCCGGGCUUAACCUGGGAGCUGCAUUUGAUACGUGUAGACUAGAGUGUGAGAGAGGGUUGUGGAAUUCCCAGUGUAGAGGUGAAAUUCGUAGAUAUUGGGAAGAACACCGGUGGCGAAGGCGGCAACCUGGCUCAUGACUGACGCUGAGGCGCGAAAGCGUGGGGAGGC